GCCUUCGUGGUGCAGUGGUCAGUACGCUCGACGCCUAUUCGAGAGGUCCGUGGUUCGAGUCCUGGCGAGGACA
rnacentral:tRNA from 1 species